rnacentral:tRNA from 1 species
AGGGGUGUGGCUCAGCUGGUAGGGAGUCUGCCUAGCAUGCAUAAAGCCCUAGGUUCAAUCCCCAGCACCACAU